GACGAACGCUGGCGGCGUACUUAACACAUGCAAGUCGAACGGUGAAGCUCCAGCUUGCUGGAGUGGAUCAGUGGCGAACGGGUGAGUAACACGUGAGCAACCUGCCCCAGACUCUGGAAUAAGCGCUGGAAACGGCGUCUAAUACUGGAUACGAGAUCAAGCCGCAUGGUUAUGGUCUGGAAAGUUUUUCGGUUUGGGAUGGGCUCGCGGCCUAUCAGCUUGUUGGUGAGGUAAUGGCUCACCAAGGCGACGACGGGUAGCCGGCCUGAGAGGGCGACCGGCCACACUGGGACUGAGACACGGCCCAGACUCCUACGGGAGGCAGCAGUGGGGAAUAUUGCACAAUGGGCGAAAGCCUGAUGCAGCGACGCCGCGUGAGGGAUGACGGCCUUCGGGUUGUAAACCUCUUUCAGCAGGGAAGAAGCGAAAGUGACGGUACCUGCAGAAGAAGCACCGGCUAACUACGUG
rnacentral:rRNA from 1 species